AUAUCAAUAAGCGGAGGACAAGAAACCAACAGGGAUUGCCUCAGUAACGGCGAGUGAAGCGGCAACAGCUCAAAUUUGAAAUCCGGCCUUUUCGGGGGUCUGAGUUGUAAUUUGCAGAGGGUGUUUCGGGCGCGGCGUCGGUCUAAGUUCCUUGGAACAGGGCGUCAUAGAGGGUGAGAAUCCCGUCUGCGACCGGCCGCCAACCCCGUGUGAAACCCCUUCGACGAGUCGAGUUGUUUGGGAAUGCAGCUCUAAAUGGGUGGUAAAUUCCAUCUAAAGCUAAAUACCGGCCAGAGACCGAUAGCGCACAAGUAGAGUGAUCGAAAGAUGAAAAGCACUUUGGAAAGAGAGUCAAACAGUACGUGAAAUUGUUGAAAGGGAAGCGCUUGCCACCAGACCUGCCCGCCGACGAUCACCCGCUACCCGUAGCGGGGCACUCGCCCGCGAUCAGGCCAGCAUCGGCUCGCGCGGCGGGACAAAUGGCCGGGGAACGUAGCUCCCUUCGGGGAGUCUUAUAGCCCCGGCCGUCAUGCCGCCCGCGCGGGCCGAGGACCGCGCUUCGGCUAGGAUGCUGGCGUAAUGGUGGCAAGCGACCCGUCUUGAAACACGGACCAAGGAGUCUAACAUCCAUGCGAGUGUUUGGGCGUCAAACCCACGCGCGGAAUGAAAGUGAACGGAGGUGGGACCCCCGUGAGGGGCGCACCAUCGACCGAUCCAGAAGUCUUCGGAUGGAUUCGAGUACGAGCAUGGCUGUUGGGACCCGAAAGAUGGUGAACUAUGCCUGAAUAGGGUGAAGCCAGAGGAAACUCUGGUGGAGGCUCGCAGCGGUUCUGACGUGCAAAUCGAUCGUCAAAUUUGGGUAUAGGGGCGAAAGACUAAUCGAACCAU
rnacentral:rRNA from 1 species